AUUGAACGCUGGCGGCAGGCUUAACACAUGCAAGUCGAACGGUAACAGGAGAAAGCUUGCUUUCUUGCUGACGAGUGGCGGACGGGUGAGUAAUGCUUGGGAAUCUGGCUUAUGGAGGGGGAUAACGACGGGAAACUGUCGCUAAUACCGCGUAGAGUCGGGAGACGAAAGUGCGGGACCGCAAGGCCGCAUGCCAUGAGAUGAGCCCAAGUGGGAUUAGGUAGUUGGUGGGGUAAAGGCCUACCAAGCCGACGAUCUCUAGCUGGUCUGAGAGGAUGACCAGCCACACCGGGACUGAGACACGGCCCGGACUCCUACGGGAGGCAGCAGUGGGGAAUAUUGCGCAAUGGGGGCAACCCUGACGCAGCCAUGCCGCGUGAAUGAAGAAGGCCUUCGGGUUGUAAAGUUCUUUCGGUGACGAGGAAGGCGUGAUGUUUAAUAGGCAUCACGAUUGACGUUAAUCACAGAAGAAGCACCGUCUAACUCCGUGCCAGCAGCCGCGGUAAUACGGAGGGUGCGAUUGCUAAUCGGAAUAACUGGGCGUACAGGGCACGCUUGCGGCUAUCUUACUUGAUGUGAGAUCCCCCGGGCUUGAACUGGUAACUGUGUUUCCGAGUGGUUAGCUUGCAUUGCGUAGGG
rnacentral:rRNA from 1 species